UGCAACGUUUUUGUGAGGAGUGCUAUGUCAAAAAAAGAGAAGGAUUUUGGUGUUUUUUGUUUGUUUGUUUUUGCUUUGCCAAUGAUUUUGAUCAAAAGGCUGAGUGGUUUUGCCUCAGACCAAGCCACUUCAUAUCUUCACAGCAAGCAUACAGAAUUCUGGAAUUUGUGGACAGAAUGCAGCAUUUCAGCCGUUCUGGAUCCUUCUGAAGAAAAGCAAGAUGGAAAAUUUAAGAAUAAAUUUUAAAAGGAAGAAAAAUCAGCUGUGCAAUUUUGGAAAGAUGUCCUGUUGUGUCCCUGAGUACAGCAGCUAAUGAGUGUGGGCUGUGUUCUGGAAGAAUUCAGGAGAUGUUGAAGGUGCAUUCAGCAGAGGGGGACAGCUGUAAGAAUCAUAAUUCUAAAAAAAAUGCAUUGCAGGGUGGAAGACAGAAGCCAUAUUCAUUAUUAGGCCCAGAAGAAAGGCACUUUUAAAAACUUCUCUGAAAAAAUAAAAACAGCAAAGACUUUGAGGAAUUUCCUAGUUAUCUUUUCCACUCCACUGACUUUUGGCUCUGCCACCAAAUUGAAACACCAUUUUCUGAACAAUAAUAUCAUGUGCUU